rnacentral:tRNA from 1 species
GCUGAUGUGGCUCAGAGGUAGAGCACUUCCUUGGUAAGGAAGGGGUCACGGGUUCAAUUCCCGUCAUCAGCUUA